AGCAGCCGCGGUAAUUCCAGCUCCAAUAGCGUAUAUUAAAGUUGUUGCAGUUAAAAAGCUCGUAGUUGAAUUUCGGGGUCAGUAGAUUGGUCAUGCCACUGGUAUGUACUGGUCUUACUGGCUCCUCCUUCCUGAUGAACCGUAAUGCCAUUAAUUUGGUGUUGCGGGGAGACUGGACUGUUACUUUGAAAAAAUUAGAGUGUUUAAAGCAGGCUAACGCUUGAAUACAUUAGCAUGGAAUAAUGAAAUAGGACGUUCGAUCUUAUUUUGUUGGUUUCUAGGAUUGACGUAAUGAUUAAUAGGGAUAGUUGGGGGCAUUAGUAUUCAAUUGUCAGAGGUGAAAUUCUUGGAUUUAUUGAAGACUAACUACUGCGAAAGCAUUUGCCAAGGAUGUUUUCAUUAAUCAAGAACGAAAGUUAGGGGAUCGAAGACGAUCAGAUACCGUCGUAG
rnacentral:rRNA from 1 species